AAGUCGUAACAAGGUUUCCGUAGGUGAACCUGCGGAAGGAUCAUUAAAGAGUAAGGGUCUCUGGCCCGAACCUCCAACCCUCUGUUGUUAUAACUACUUCGUUGCUUUGGCGGGACCGCGAGGGUCCUCCCGAGCGCGCCGGUCUCCGGACAGGCGAGCGCCCGCCAGAGUCUAACCAAACUCUUGUUUUUAAACCGGUCGUCUGAGUAUAAAAUUUUAAUUAAAUUAAAACUUUCAACAACGGAUCUCUUGGUUCUC
rnacentral:misc_RNA from 1 species